UACGUAGGUGGCAAGCGUUGUCCGGAAUUAUUGGGCGUAAAGCGCGCGCGGGCGGUCCUUUAAGUCUGAUGUGAAAGCCCACGGCUCAACCGUGGAGGGUCAUUGGAAACUGGGGGACUUGAGUACAGAAGAGAAGAGUGGAAUUCCACGUGUAGCGGUGAAAUGCGUAGAUAUCGGAAGGAACAUCAGUGGCGAAAGCGGCUUCCUGGACCAGCACCGACGUUCAGGCACGAAAGCGUGGGGAGCAAACAGG
rnacentral:rRNA from 1 species